rnacentral:rRNA from 1 species
AGCGAACGCUGGCGGCAGGCCUAACACAUGCAAGUCGAACGGAUCCUUCGGGAUUAGUGGCGGACGGGUGAGUAACACGUGGGAACGUGCCCUUUGGUUCGGAACAACUCAGGGAAACUUGAGCUAAUACCGGAUGUGCCCUUCGGGGGAAAGAUUUAUCGCCAUUGGAGCGGCCCGCGUCUGAUUAGCUAGUUGGUGAGGUAAAGGCUCACCAAGGCUACGAUCAGUAGCUGGUCUGAGAGGAUGAUCAGCCACAUUGGGACUGAGACACGGCCCAAACUCCUACGGGAGGCAGCAGUGGGGAAUCUUGCGCAAUGGGCGAAAGCCUGACGCAGCCAUGCCGCGUGAAUGAUGAAGGUCUUAGGAUUGUAAAAUUCUUUCAGCAGGGACGAUAAUGACGGUACCUGCAGAAGAAGCCCCGGCUAACUUCGUGCCAGCAGCCGCGGUAAUACGAAGGGGGCUAGCGUUGCUCGGAAUUACUGGGCGUAAAGGGCGCGUAGGCGGGUCGUUAAGUAGGGGGUGAAAGCCCAGGGCUCAACCCUGGAAUUGCCUUCUAAACUGGCGACCUUGAGUAUGGCAGAGGUGUGUGGAACUCCGAGUGUAGAGGUGAAAUUCGUAGAUAUUCGGAAGAACACCAGUGGCGAAGGCGACACACUGGGCCAUUACUGACGCUGAGGCGCGAAAGCGUGGGGAGCAAACAGGAUUAGAUACCCUGGUAGUCCACGCUGUAAACGAUGAGUGCUAGUUGUCGGCAUGCAUGCAUGUCGGUGACGCAGCUAACGCAUUAAGCACUCCGCCUGGGGAGUACGGUCGCAAGAUUA